rnacentral:lncRNA from 1 species
UAGAAAUUUCUUCCACCAGAUACCCUAAAUUAUCUCUCUUAAAUUCAAAGUUCCACAGAUCUCUAGGGCAGGGGCAAAAUUCCACCAGUCUCUUUGAUAAAACAUAGCAAGAGUUACCUUUACUCCAGUUCUCAACAAGUUCCUCACCUCCAUCUGAGACCACCUCAGCCUAGAUUUCAUUGACUAUAUCAUUAUCAGCAUUUUGGUCAAAGCCAUUCAACAAGUCUCUAGGAAGUUUCCAUGUGGCUGGGGAGGCCUCAAAAUCAUGGCAGAAGGUGAAAGGCACAUCUUACGUGGCGUCAGGGAAGAGAGAGAAUUUGUGCAGGGGAACUCUUCUUUACAUAAUUAUCAGAUCUCGUGAGACUUAUUCACUGUCAUGAGAACAGCAAGGGAAAGACCUGACCCCAUGAUUCAAUUACCUCCCACUGGGUCCCUCCCACAACAUGUGGAAAUUAUGGAAGCUACAAUUCAAGAUGAGAUUUGAGUGGGGACACUGCCAAGCCAUAUCAACACCCCACCUUUAAUCUCCCUUGCUUUUUGUUUUUUGUUUUUUCCAGAACACCUAAAUAUUACCUCAUGAGGAUAAGCUUAACUGUCCAAGAUUUAUCCUGAAGAGAGGGAAGGAUGCUUGAGAAUUUAAACUUACUCUAAAACUAAUGGGAAUUUCUUAAAGGAUUGUAAAAAAAAGGGAGGAUUCGAUCAUAUAUAUAUAUAUAUAUAUAUAUACACACAUAUAUAUGUAUAUAUACAUAUAUAUGUAUAUAUACGUAUAUAUACAUAUAUAUAUUACAAGCAUGUUCUUAUUGAGGUGUGGAGAAUUCAGCAGAGGAAGAGGUCAAGGUGGGAUGUGGAUAGAACAGUUAGGAAGCUGUUGCAGCAGUUCAGGUGAAAUGGACUGGGCUUUGGUCAGGUGGUUGGCCAUUGAAAUACAGAGACAUUUUAUCAUUUGGGAUUUGGAGUAGCUGUAACUGAAACUCCAAAUUACAGUGGCUUGGACAGAUAUUUAUUCCUCUCUCGCAUAACUGAAAUCUGUACAUAGCCUAGAAUUCAAUUGGUGGCUCCACCAUUCUUAGGGACCAGAUUCCUUCCAUUUUGUCAAUACGUGACUUCAACCUCCUCAUUGACGGUGGCUGCUUUAAUUCCAGUCAUGUUGUUUUCAUCCCAGACAACGUGAAUGAUGAAGGGAGGAAAAAAGAUACAUCCCUUUCCUGUAAGAGAAUUUCUAGAAAUUAUACGUGAUGCUUGCAGUUACAGCUCAUUGGAAAGCACUCAGUAGCAUGGCCCCAUGUGAUUACAAUGGAAGAUAGACAAUAAAAUGUUUACUCUAGGUUACUACAGGUCUAGUUGAAAAUCAGGACGUCUAUGACUAAGGUUGAAAGGAACAGAAAACGUUGAUAAAUAGCCAACAUCUGUAAUACAAGUAGAUAAAGUUGAGACUUGUUUUGGAAAUAAAGUUAGCAGGAUUUGAUAACUGAUUUAAUGGGGGUUGGGUGAGGACAAGAGAAGGAACAAAUCUCAUUUCUACUUUUCUGAGACAAUCAAUGGUAGUACCUUUUUGGAAAUGAAAAAAAUGAAAAAAGGGGCAGGUUUAGGGCAAAGAACAAAAAUUAAUUAGCUGUUGGGAGCUUCCUCAAAAUUAUAGAGGGAGCAAUUUAUCAAUUUUUUGUUGUUGUUCCAUUCUAGAGAUGUUUUAUGCCCAUAUAGGAAUGUGGGUGUGCAUACCUGAUAUGUGUGUAUACACACAUAUUUUAUUUUUACAAAAAUGGUAGGGUUUAAUUAUACCAUUAUAUACCUAAAAUCCUUUACUUGAUAUAUAUUGGGGAUCUUUCCAUAUAAUUGCAUGAAGAAGUGCCUUACUAUUUUUAAUCAUCACAGAGUAUUUCAUUGUAUGGCUUUGCCAUAAUUUAUUUAACCAGUUCUUAUCUGUACAUUUGUUUCUGUUUUUUUCAGAUUAUAAAAAAUGCUGCAAUGAAUGUCUACACUUUAAAGUAAAAUUGUUGGGUUUAGGGGCACAUUAUUGAAAAUUUUGGCUUGCGUAUUUUUUUCAUAGAGGUGUCAGCAAUUUCUACUCCCACUGGCAAUAUAUCGGGAUGCCUGUUUUCCUUUACUCUUGUCAACUCAAUGUGUCAAGCUUUCUGAUGGUUAAAAUAAUAUUAGAUUUUUGUUUUAAUUUGCUUUUUCUUAGCAGAAAUGAAAUAAAACACUUCACAUGUUUAAAAUGUUUUAUUUCUUUUUCUAAACAUGUCCUCAUUUUUGCUAUUGGAUUCUUAUUUUCUUAUUUAAUUGAAGGAACUGGUUAUACGUUAGAUUAUCUGUUUUGCAAAUAUUUUCCUGUUUAUCCUUUUUUGUCCUCAUAGUAAAUUUCUUUCUAUAAAUUCAACUUAUUUACUAUGAAUAGCUUCUUGUUAUUAAGUAGGUUUAAUACAGUUACCACGUUGGUUUGCAUGCUUUAAACUUUAUUCUCCUCUGUAAAAUACAUCAUUUUACAGAAAUGAGCUCAUACUGAAUAUAUCUUUUAGGUUUCUGCUUUUAUUCUCACUUAAUAAUAAAAAUCUUUCUAAGUCAUUCAUUGUUUUAACAAAUUAUUUUUAAUUGUUUCAUACAUUAUUCUGUCAUUUGGAGUUAACAAUAAUUUACUCAAGCAACCCUCCCGCUGUUGCAUAAUUAGGUUAUUUUCAUUUAAAAAAAAACCGAUAUAAGCUACAGCCAUGGUAGUUUCACUAUGAUAAAGUCCUCAAAGUAAAAUUUGGAGGUCAUUGUGCAAAAGUACUCUCCUUGUGCUUCAAUGCUUCCCGCAGCUAGACCAAGCUCCGCGGGCAGGAGCUGGAGUCCAAGCUAGGGGAAAGAAGGACCUUCCGGGCCCAUAAGGCGGGAGGCAAGGAGGGCCCCUGGGCAGCCCCGCGCUUGCGCGCCAAUCACGGCCGUUAUGGAUUUCGAUACGUUACCAAACGGUCUCCUACAAAGGCAGAAACCGUUUAAAUAUUUCAGAAGGAUUGAUUUUCAUUUUGCAAAUAUAAUACUGGUUCAUUUUCUUUCUCUUCCUCCAUCCAUUCUACUAUUGAACAUAAAACGUGUCAAUAGUAUUGUAGUUCAGCAUGUAUCUCAGGAUAUUAAAAGGGCAGUGUGACUCAGCUAGAAAAGGAUGAACUUUCCCCAAAGAUAAAGUGACCUAUGCGGUAAGUCCUACGGGACUUCAUAUCCUCAUUGGAGAGAGGUUUAGGGUGUUUCUAGUUGUAGCAGGGUUAGUUGCACCUUAGGUUGAAGCAAGAUUUUGCUACUGGAAAUUAAAUAUGGUAAAAGGAGGUGCUCUCGGCCGCCAAUUUGACAAGGGAUGGACCGUGCUGGUUUUGUAUCAACUGGCCUAAGCUAGAACUUCAUUUCCAUUAUGUCUCCAUAUCAGGUUUGGCCAAAAGAUAUAUCUAUGCCAGAUUUGGGAAGCAGAAGUGAAAGAGUAACCGUUACUCUGUGUAGCUGGUGCGGAAGGAGAGAAGUGUAGAUGUACUGCUUGUGGGCUCUAGCUUGUCCUCGCCUGCCUCUGUCUUGACUCCAGCUGGUGUCCUUUUCUGCCUGCCUUGCUGACCAACAGCAGCCCCAAACCCACAGUCAAUGCAGAGGCAACAGCCUUCCAUGCACUUCUUCGCCAGCUCCUGUUGUGGUCUCACUCUUGCAACUGGAUGUUCCCAGUUCUCUAUAUGUAACCUGUGACUUUUCCUUCACUUGACUACUUCAGGAGAGGUGAAUAGAGACUUUUCUCCAAUUCUCCACCUUCCAACGGUGGCCUUACUUCCCCGUCUCCUCCCACUAUUGUGCAAGGUCUAAUUUUUUAAUCCUUAGACUAUAAACUCUGUGGAGGUAGCCACCUGUUUAGUUUACAGCUAUAGUCCCAGCGCCUGGCACCCAGAAGACACUCAUUAAAUGUUUGAAGAAUUAUUAAAGCCCCCAAUAAUUGAUAGCCCUUAUUAUUUAUCCAGUACUUAGAUUCUCAAAUAUGAAACACGAACAACUUGGUUUCAUUAUCUGGCUUAAAAAGCUUAUCAGGGAAAAAGUUUUUAAAAAUAUAUUUUGGGCAGCAUUUGAGUCAUUUCCCGCACCCCCAAACCUAUGUCAGUCGAUAGGAAGUCUGAAAUUGCCUUGAGUUCUGUAGGCAGGACACUUCAGUGGGCUGAAAAGUGUUGGGCUUAUACCUCACUGCUCACUGCUCAUCAUAACUCUUCCCCUCUUUGCUUGGAUUUUUUUUCUUAAAUAUGCCAUGGUCAGCAAAAUUUUUAUUUC